GAUGAAGAACGUAGUGAAAUGCGAUAAGUAAUGUGAAUUGCAGAAUUCAGUGAAUCAUCGAAUCUUUGAACGCACAUUGCGCCCGCCAGCAUUCUGGCGGGCAUGCCUGUUCGAGCGUCAUUUCAACCCUCAAGCUCUGCUUGGUGUUGGGGCCCUACGGUUGACGUAGGCCCUUAAAGGUAGUGGCGGACCCUCUCGGAGCCUCCUUUGCGUAGUAACUAACGUCUCGCAUUGGGAUUCGGAGGGACUCUUGCCGUAAAACCCCCAAAUUUUCUAAUGGUUGACCUCGGAUCAGGUAGGAAUACCCGCUGAACUUAAGCAUAUCAAUAAGCGGAGGA
rnacentral:misc_RNA from 1 species